AGUGGAUACCCUCACGGCCAGCCUCAAGUCGCGCGCUCUCGGUAGCACAGAAGGGCUCAUCGGCACCCGCGCGCGCCUCCAUGUACGUUGAAAACAGGAUGCUGCAGAGGGACAUGGAGUCCAGCAGACUGCCCAUAUUAUCAGGACACCUCAGGUUCAUCUGGACGCCUAUGAAGAAGAAGAAGAAGAAAAGAAGAAAACAUCCUGCAGAAUGCUCUUUGUGUCGCUGAGAGAAACAACGGACGCGCCUGCAGUAAUCAGCCUCCAUCCGCUCCAACGGGAUUUUACUGUAACGAACGGUCGUGUCUUCACGCGAGAUCAGGCCAGAACAAUGGCAGCAUUUUCAAUCACAUCUGCUCAAAGUCAAGGCUCAUUUGGGGG